CGCUCCUGGACAGUCCAUUCCCUUUUUUUUUCUCCCUCCGCCCAGGGAGGAGUGGGACAACUCCGAGCUAGAGGGUGCAAGCGGGACCCUGGGCGCAGGUGUAAAUCAGUCACCUGUGCGCCGAGGGGCUGCGGCGAGAGUGCAUGCGCGUGGGCGGUUGGGGCGUGGCGCAGGCAGCCAGCAAGGCCCGGAGCGGCCAGGCGGGGAGGGAGCAGGCAGAGCGGAGAGCUGAGGUGGCCGAGGGGCGGGGCCACUAAGAGGAGACCAAGAGGUGGGGGCUGCACUUAAGGACCAGCCUGCUGAGAUGAUCAACAGAAGAGAUUCUUGUGUCCUACAGACCAAAGAAAGAAUCAGCAGGAAUGCCCAGGGUGAAUGAUGGAUUGCAGAGCCUGGCUGGUAACUGUGAAUGAAGCUGAGGAGAGAAAUAAAGGAGAUAGUCACCAGUCUACACACUAUGGACCUGUCUACACAGACAGGGUGCAGUCCAAAGACUUCCAGGAAGAAACGGCACCUCUGCCUCCAUAUUCUUUAGUUCCAGAAAGGUGAAAAUUGACACACCGUUAAAACUCAAGGCAACCAAAGCUCCAUGUCCUCAACCAGAGCUCUCAUUUUAGGUCAGGAAAGUCUUUGCUCUGCAUCUUACCUGAUGAGAAGAUGAGAAUGUGUUCUUUGAGAUCCUUUCUUCCACAACAGAAAUAAGUGUUUGUUUUAGAAAAUUUGAAUUGGAUAUUUUUAACCAUCAGUCUCUAAGAUGCCUUGUUGAUAGAGUAAAUUUAAAAAUGAAUCUGUAUUGAAUCUGGACAAAUAAACCACAGUUUGAAGCUCCAAAAGAAAUGCAUACCAUUAACUGUCAUCUUUCAAUAUUAGUUUUCUCUGAAUGUAUGUGGUCAUAAAUCUUUCUUUAUGUUUCUGUCUAUUGGUAAUUUCAUACAAAUGGAAUUGUCUAUGUUAUUUUGCAUUAAUCUUCUUUCAUUUGCAGACCAUUUUAAAGCAUCAUUCACAACAUAUCUGUGCAUAACUGUGGAUAAUUAUGUAACUUCAAUAUGGGGGUUGCAGUAAAUUUGGCCAAAGCAGAAGACCCUGAAUAUACAGCAACAAAAUCCCUGAUGAUUCAAAAGCAAACACGUGAUGAGUUUAUUGUGUGUCUGUGGUCUUGCUUGCACUGUGGUGCCCUGUCACUUCAUUGCAGUCUGCAUUCGGAAGCACAAGAUUUGCAACGUCUUCUACAGUCCCUCACACCCUGUGGGCUCACCGGUGGCCUGACAUACCUCAGCUCAGGAUUGAAACUAUUGUAUGCAAUUAUUAAAUUCAGUGCUUUUACGAAA